rnacentral:rRNA from 1 species
GAUGAACGCUAGCGGGAGGCUUAACACAUGCAAGUCGAGGGGUAAAUGGCAGCAAUGCUAUGAGACCGGCGAACGGGUGAGUAACACGUGGGUAACCUACCCAUCAGCGGGGGAUAACACUUGGAAACAGGUGCUAAUACCGCAUAAUUCCUUUCUUCGCCUGAAGGGAAGAUGAAAGACGCUUUUGCGUCACUGAUGGAUGGACCCGCGCUGCAUUAGCUAGUUGGUGGGGUAAACGCUCACCAAGGCUACGAUGCAUAGCCGACCUGAGAGGGUGAUCGGCCACACUGGGACUGAGACACGGCCCAGACUCCGUACGGGAGCAGC